CCCGUAUUAACGCCCAGCACUCGGGGGGGUCUUCAGCACAGGAAGGCUACGACAAUGAACAGAUCAGCUCCAGUGAUGCAUAGAAGAAAGGCCCGCGAGGCGACUUAUUCGGGAUUUAAAAUAGCCAGAUAGAGUUGCUGGACAAACGACUCGAUCCGGUUUAAUCCGAGCGUCCGUAUCGGAAACACUUGACUCUCGACUCUCGGCUCGAUAUGACCCGCCCUCCCUGGUGUGUUGUGUAUUAAACGUGGAUUUGUCCAGUUCUCCCUGUAGAUGUGACCCGUACAUGUAAUACUCAGCUCUGACACGACUGUAUGACAAUAACUGACCCGGCGAUCGGCUCUGCCGCAUGUUAACCGCCUGCCUCGGGCUGGUCUGCUUAUAUUCGAGUGACUGACCGGAGGGAGGCUAAUAAUCCGCUUUGGCCUCAAGUCUGUCACCUUGAGAGAAUAAAGAUGGGGGCGGGGGGGGGGGUGCAUAUCACACACACACACACACACACACACUAUGCUGACAUGUCAGCAAGGUGAUCAUUAAACUAAAUUUGCAUGGCAUCGUGUGUGAUCAAGCUGUCACUUUGCUGUCUACACACUUAUGAGAUUCUCACACACACACACACACACACACACACACACUAUCCGUCCAUCAAGUGCUGUUUGGUGUUAACCCGAUGACACUGAAUAUUUUAAUGAACCAUGUCUCAUUACAUGUUAAUGGAUCUUAUCGCAUUAAUAUAGCGACAUCACAGUAAGACGCCAGUUUUCCUUUCGGGAGUCAGCUGACAUCACCGACGUGGCUAACGACUUACUCGAGAUGAUGUAAGCGUUAUCAUUGAAUCCUCCAUUCUGAUUGGUCAGGAGUCAGUCAGACUCUGAAUGUCGGUCCAGCAGCGAUCAUGGGUAUAUGCGAAACUGCGGGACAUUGGAACUCGUACAGUUUUCUACUGAGAAGAAAUGGGACUGAUGUCUUCACGUGAACCUUUUUGACCAGAACGCUGCAGUUCCCAUCUGCCAGCGGAGUAGAAACCGACUUUUCAAUCAGCGUAAACAAAUGAAUUAUUUUCUCAGCACAAGUCCGGACUCUGUGUGUUUUAGACCUGUGUUUUUCCCUCUUACACAGAAUUCCCCUGGUUGAAGAUCAAAUCUGAGCGGCUUUUUAGAUGAAAAAGCACUUGGAGCAUCUCAGAGAGCAGCAAUGGGAUUGAUAUCAACAUUUACUUUGAAGAUACCAACAGUUUCUGUGGAAAAAUCAACCAGUUGAUUCGUUGUGUACCUUCUUUAUGAUGGUAGAAAGAAUUAUAUCACCCCAAACCUCCAACACCCAAAGUCCUGCCUCGCCUCGGGCCUGCGCCGUGAGCUAAAAACAAAAGGAGCCAACAGAAAAGAAAGAGAGAGAGAGAGAGAGAGAGAGAGAGAGAGAGAGAGAGUAAGCAGCCAUGCAUUCGUGAGAGAGCAGAAACAAAGCUUUGUUUGUGUGCCUCAAUCAGUCGUGCUCGUGAAAGCAGACACUUAUGAGAGAGAGAAAAUCUCCCCCUUUUAUAUAUAUAUAAAAAACAACAACAUGGGUAUAAAUUAAAAUAAAAAAGAAAAAGAAAAAGAGUAAACGUAAUACAGGCUGGAUUCUGUUUGCCCUGAAUGUGACAAGAAUAAGAAUUACUAUUAAUCAACAUAGAAACCCCCCCAAGCACACACACACACACACACACACACACACGGCCUACAUCUAAUGUACAAUAAAUCCACAAAGGGGCCCCUGAGCGCCUCCUACAUAUAUACACAGAGGCUCCUGUUAUCCCGUCAUUUUGCCUUUCAUUCCUGCCCUUCUUUUUUUACAGUACGAAAGUAAAGGAACAGAGAAAGUCCCUUCGCCCGGCUCGCGUCUCGGAAACCCAAACCCGGCACCCGCUGUGACCCGUGCGAAUUCAAACCCAGAUCGAUAAGGAGAUUUCUUCCGUUCCGCCUCUUUUUUUUUUGUUGUUGUUGUUGGCGAGCGAGGUGAAGGGGAGGGGAAUAAAGUUACAAGUGUGCAUCGUAGGCCUGAAAGGCAGUGUGGGAAAAAGCGGCCUUGGCAGGGAGACGGGGUCAGUGGCGAGCCCGCCGCACCAGGUGUCCCCCCUGCAUUCAGACGAUACGCUCAUUCAUAGAGCGAGCGCAGAGUAUUAAAACUCAGAAUUUGCAACUGAAUGCUGAUAUAAUCCUGGAAAUAUAUGUCUCCAUUAAGCGCGCUCCCAUUAAGCGCACAAGGAAGCCUUUGUGCUGGGGCUUUAUGUAUAUUUAUCAAGGUUUUAAA